GACGAACGCUGGCGGCGUGCCUAAUACAUGCAAGUAGAACGCUGAAGGAGGAGCUUGCUCUUCUGGAUGAGUUGCGAACGGGUGAGUAACGCGUAGGUAACCUGCCUGGUAGCGGGGGAUAACUAUUGGAAACGAUAGCUAAUACCGCAUAACAGUAGAUGCUGCAUGACAUUUUCUUAAAAGGUGCAAUUGCAUCACUACCAGAUGGACCUGCGUUGUAUUAGCUAGUUGGUGGGGUAACGGCUCACCAAGGCGACGAUACAUAGCCGACCUGAGAGGGUGAUCGGCCACACUGGGACUGAGACACGGCCCAGACUACUACGGGAGGCAGCAGUAGGGAAUCUUCGGCAAUGGACGGAAGUCUGACCGAGCAACGCCGCGUGAGUGAAGAAGGUGUUCGGAUCGUAAAGCUCUGUUGUAAGAGAAGAACGAGUGUGAGAGUGGAAAGUUCACACUGUGACGGUAUCUUACCAGAAAGGGACGGCUAACUACGUG
rnacentral:rRNA from 1 species